GAUGAAGAACGCAGUGAAAUGCGAUAAGUAAUGUGAAUUGCAGAAUUCAGUGAAUCAUCGAAUCUUUGAACGCACCUUGCACCCUUUGGCAUUCCGAAGGGUAUGCUCGUUUGAGUGUCAUUGUACUCUCACACUCUCCGAUCCUAUGGAUUCGGGGAGCGGUGGACUUGGGUGUUGCUGCCUUUCCCUGUGGCUCACCUCAAAUGCGUCAGUGCACCUCUUGGUUGGACAUAGUACGGCGUGAUAAGUGUCUUCGCCGGCACCUCGCAAGAGGGUGGCCGAUCGGAAGCUCUGCGCUUUCAAACCGUCUUCGGACAAUUUCUGACAUCUUGACCUCAAAUCGAGUAGGACUACCCGCUGAACUUAAGCAUAUCAAUAAGCGGAGGA
rnacentral:misc_RNA from 1 species